GACGAACUGUGCAAACGUUAUUCGGAAUCACUGGGCGUAAAGGGCUCGUAGGCGGCCUGAUACGUAGGGGGUGAAAUCCUGCGGCUUAACCGCAGGGCUGCCUUCUAAACUGGCGGGCUCGAGCACGGUAGAGGCAGAUGGAAUUCCCGGUGUAGCGGUGGAAUGCGUAGAGAUCGGGAAGAACAUCAGUGGCGAAGGCGGUCUGCUGGGCCGUUGCUGACGCUGAGGCGCGACAGCGUGGGGAGCAAACAGG
rnacentral:rRNA from 1 species